AAUCAUCACUAAUUCAGCGUAGAAGUACACCAUGUGUUCCAUUUGUUCCUAUUCCAUUCCAAAUAUCAUAAUCAUAAUCAGAACUAAAGGGUUAAAUAUCUAAGAAUCAUAAUUAAACACUCAUGUUAAUCUUCGGUGGGGUUGUGGCGACUUUGAUGAACCGAAUGAGAAACACAUACGGCGUCGGAAUGAAUAAAUUCCAUUCUAAUCGACCUAGAAUCCGCUUUUCCAUCACUAAACAUGUUGAUGUCCGUAAGCUCUAUCAGAUAUUUGAACAAAAUCGUUGACUUCCGGAGCCUAUAUUUCUUCAAUUUUGAUACAAUAAGCAUUGCACUCACUCAGACACACUCUAAUUCUCUUCUAGCAACAGUUAAAACUUCAUACAUCAAAAACAUAUAUGUAUCCAUUGUGAGUUGGUGGAAUCUGUAUCCACUAUAAUUCUCUCAUUGUUGGUAUCUUGAGCAUCACUGUCGAAGAUAUUCGUUUGUUUUGGUUUGUAGUUAAGGCAACUAUAAUUCUCUCAUUGUUGAUAUCUUGAGCAUCAAUGUCGAAGAUAUUCGUUUUUUUGGUUUGUAGUUAAGGCAACAGACAGCUUUGCUCUGGCAGUUAGUGCUGAAGUGAGUGACAAUUGAGGGUCUUUGUUUUGAGAAGAUGAAAAAGAUCCUGAUUUCUUCUCUUCUUGGUUGUCCGGACUGAUUUCGAUUACAAUUGCAUUUUCUGGCACCGAUGGUGGUUUUGGUUUGGAUGUGGCCUUCUUCUUGGCUGAUUUGACUGACAUUGGUUUCUAUAAUUAAGAUUCAGGAAGAUGAAUUGUUAAUGAAAAAAGAUUUGAUGAAAAGUUUAUGUGAAUAAUCGAUUAAAAAAAUUGGAGAAAACUUUCACCUUUUUGUUUUCAGCUGCGUCUUGUUGGGAGAAUUGAGAGACGAGGAGGAGGAGGAGGAAGAUUUUGACUUUUCAAAGUCAUUGUUAAUAGAAAAUAGGUUAAUGUCUAUGUGGCAAAUGGGUAACCGGAUUACCUUUUUCAUUUUGUCCAAAGUGAUCAAAUUGACCCGAACAAAACGAAUUUAAUGGUCUAGAAAGCACGGAAAUACUUAAGGGGCUGAAUUGACAAAUAUACAAAACAUCAGAGGGCGAAAUUGUCAUUUUCCUUUCAAAAUAAUAUUGGAAAACUAAUACGACUGUUGUGCAUGUUUAUGUAAAGUAGUUGUUGAUAUUUUCUUGUACUUCUUAUCUAUUCAAGUUUAUCAAAGUUAUAAUCACAUAGAAGAUUUUAUUCGAACAUAUUUCGAAUAGUUUAUAAGAUAAUAUACAAAUUUUAAAUUUUAUAACUCGAAACGUAUAAAUCAGUACAAAUGAGUUAAAUAUUUAUUACUUUAUAUGAAGUUUAUGGUGCACCGCACAUAUGGAAAGUAGUUGGGUAUGGUUGGAGGUGAUACGAAAUCCAUCCACACCAAUCUUGCCAUGCAACAAAGACAUGACUUAAUGGACAAAUAAAAUAUCCCAAUUUUCAAACCUAAAUCAUCUGUGAUAUUGUCAGGCUGACCCACGGUGGCACCGUCAUCAAUGGUGGAGGAGCCGCCGUCUAUUAAUAAUACUUAAUUAAUAAGCCCUCUUCCACUCGUUCUUUUACUUAAAAGAAAACAAACUUUGUGUGAAUAAUCACAAGAAUAAAUAAAGAAAAUAUACAACAAAUAAAUAAUAUAUGAGUUUAAUUAUAUCAAGUUUUAAGAAUAUAACUAUGCUUUCAAAGACAAAAUGAGAUAUAGACAUUGAAUAGAAGUCGUUGACUAAACAUUGCAAUCGAACUUAAUCCCUAUAUGACAAAUGGCACUUCGCUUUUAUAACUAUUUUGGGAUUAAUUUAUAUUUGCUUUUAACAAGUUACUAUAAAAAAUGGUAUUUUAUCAUUACUCAUUUUUAGACAAAACCGUAAACAUGAGUGUGGUAUAUUAAAAAUUAUCACUUUAAUCCAAAACCAUUUAGAAUAAUAUCAAGGUCCAAAAUUUUAUUUUGUUGUAUUUUUAAUCUAAUUUAGUGGCUGGCUAAACAUUGCAAUCAAACUUAAUCCCAAUAUGACAAAUGGCACUAUAGUUGUUAUAAAUAUUUUUGUAUAAAUAAAAUGGUAUUUUACUAUUACACAUUUUUAAUUAAGAAAAAACUGCAAAUAUAGUAUUUGUUGAAAAUUAUCACUUUCAUCCUAAAAUAUUUUGAGUAAUAUUAAUGGUCCGAAACUUUUAUUUUGUUGUAUUUUUUAUCCAAUUUAUUUUUUAAUUUUUUACAUUGACGAUUUUGCCCUUAUUUUUUUCAACUUGUUUAUUUAAAUUUUUUUGAAUAAAAGAAAAAUAAUAAACAAAAAUGAAAUAUCUCUCUCUUUCUCUCUCUCAAAAAAUAAAAAAAACAAAACAAAAAAACUAAAAUACCCUCCUUCUUCCCCGUCUCUCNAUAUAUAUAUAUAUAACAUUUAAACUUAUCUCUAUAUAGGCUUAGGUUAUUUUGUUUUUACAAACUAUUAUAUGUCAGAAUGCAUAGAUCAGGACCAACGGAUUAAAUUAAUCAAUGGACAUGAUUUGAGGGUGUAUGAUAUUACAAUGGGAUAACAUGUACCAUAUAAUCACAUAAAUUUUAGCAAAAGAGUAUUUUGGACAACUAACUACAUUUAUAAAAGGAAAUUUUCGGAUUUUUAGGGAUAAUUAAUUCUCCUAAUUUUAAAAAUCUAAAAUUUUUUAAUUAAUUUAAUUUUAAUUCUAACGUAAUUUGUAUACAUAACCGAUUUUAUUCUGUCAGAAUAUUUUUUUUUUGUUAGAAUGGUGUUCUUUCAGAAUUUUAUUCUAUUAUAGUAUUAUUGAAAAAUAACAACAUUCUUGAAUCCGAGGUUGAAAAAUAACAACAUUCUAAUAUAUUCUUAUACAUCCGAACUUAAAUACAAAUUCAUACAUAUUCUUACAGAUUAAAAGUCUUAUACAUUUUAAUAUAAUUAUACAUAUUCUAAAGAAUAUCAACAAAAAUGAAUAAAAUUCUUAAAAAAUAACAAUAUUCUAAAAUUGUGAGUAUGAUCAAACUUUAUUCAUUCUUCAAGUUAUUCCUAUUAGAUCUUCAACGCAUUCUUCCAUCCAUUCUAUCACAAAAUACAACAAAAACUAAUAAUGAUUAAAAACAUAUUACUUGCAAUUAACUAUCACUUUAUAUAUUCUAGUAGAAUACAUACAAUAUGACAGAAUACAUAAAAAAAUAAUAAUAGGCAAUCCAAGAGAAAUAUCUAUUACAAAAACAAAUANACUAUAAUUUUGGGAUGGAAGGAGUAAUAAAAUAAAAUAAUAAUAAUAAUAAUAAUAAUAAUAAUAAUAAUAAUAAUAAUAAUAAUAAUAAUAAUAAUAAUAAUAAUAAUAAUAGGCAAUCCAAGAGAAACAUCUAUUACAAAAUAAUAAUAAUAAUAAUAAUAAUAAUAAUAAAAGAUUAACAGGUACACAAAGAUUCUAAAAGAAUCUUUAAAUAUAAAGUGUACUUACCAUUUAAUUCUGAUAGAAUAUAUAUGCAAUUACCAUUUAUAGCAUCAUACAAUUACCCAUUACUAUUGUGUAACCAAAAUAUAUUAUAAAAUUUUUAAAAAACAUUCUUAAAGAAUCAUUAAUCCUUAAGUGUGAUUAUCAUUUUAAAUUCUAACCGAAUGUAUUCUAACAUAAUACACUAUACAAAGCAUAAUGUAUUCUUACAAAAUCUACUAUAUUGUGUAUUUGAUUUUCCUAAAAAAUCAGUAUUAUUGUAGAAUACAUUGUAUAAUAGUUUCUAACAUAAUACAUUAUACAAAGUAUAAUGUGUUCUUACAGCACCAAUUGGGUUUUCUUAAUGUGUUCAACAAAUUAAAACAAAAAUAACAAAUAAUUGUGUUUAGUAUAAUUGAUAAAAUAAAAAAUUACCUUGCUCAGUGAAACGAAAUUGUUGAAUUGAGAGUAAAAUCAAAUCAAUCUAUAUUAAUGAAUAAUCGAUCCACCAAGCAUUACCUAUUAAAUGGGAAAAUGAAUGUCACCAGUUGAUUAUUUAGAUUCGUUGAAUUCCAUACAACAUCAUUAUUUGUAAUCUUGGUGUACACAAAAGAUGAAAUAUAAUAAACAUAAAUGUGCAAUGUACUGGCCUAAACAAAACAAUUUAUAAAUUCUAUGUUUCACAUACGUUGAGAUUUAAUAUAGACUAUAUAUUGGGCACCUGAAAAGUCCAUUCCCAUACGUGUCAAUCUGUCGCCGGUGAGCACUUUCCGGUUUCUCCACUGCCAGUCAAAAGUCAAAAUAGACAUAGGCCUCUUCCAUCUAUCUCUGUCGAUUUAGAGUGGGAUUGCUCUGAAGAAAGAUAGGGUCUCCCUUUUUUCUUAUUCAAUUGAUAGUUAGUUUUCCGGUAAUGCCCCAUCUAAGAGCCUAUUCGUCGUAAGCCCUUAUAGAGUCAUAACCUAAUCUAAUCCAUAAUCAGGCUUAAGACAUGCAACCAACCUCUUCUUAGAUUCAGAAAGGGGCAGCCAAAGCAGGGACUUAUAAACUAGCAUCAGAUUCUGGACAUAUUCCUGCUACUAUAAGAUCCUUUACUCGUAAAUAAACUAUGGCAGUUCCUUUAGCAGCUCCCUCCGGGCCCGCAAAGAUAAGAGAAGAGCAGAUUCUUCCCAUCUAUGAAUCCAAACCUCCCGAGCAGCUGUAAGAACGGGUUUCGUUCUAGUGUNAUAUUUAUAGCCUUUUUUUUAUAUAAACCUGUUUAUUCAUCUUUUCAAAAUUUGGAGUUCCUUAAUACAUUUGUUAAAAUGGGUCCUAAUAGAAUUUUUUAUGACAAAAUAAAAAAUUCUAUAUAUGAUUGGUCAUAUAAUCGGGGUUACAUAGAUGCCUUUUAUGGAAGAUUCUUAACUGCGGGGAUUAGAAAAUUGGCCAACUUUGCUCAUUUUUUUGAUAGACGAAUAAUUGAUGCAAUUCCAAAUGGAGUUGGUCUUAUGAGUUUCUUUGGAGCAGAGGUUAUUAAAUCGGUAGGGGGUGGGCGUAUUUCUUCUUAUCUGUUCUUUUAUUUUUCUUAUGUAGCAAUUUUUUUAUUAAUUUACAAUUUUUUCAAUGUUUGAACCUUGUUGACUAAUCUCGCUAACAUUGAACUUGGUAAAAUGACCCUACCUGCCAACGCGCGGAUAGAUAGGGCGGGCGAAGCCCGAAGGGGAUGGAUGUCUGAGCGGUUGAAAGAGUCCGUCUUGAAAACCGAAGUAUUGAUAGGAAUACCGGGGGUUCGAAUCCCUCUCCUCCGCGAGGUCAUAAGUUCUCUCUUGCGUUAUCUUUAGAUAAGAACGAAUCGGAUCAACUCGACUGAUAUGAUAGAUUGAAUGGUAGCUUGUUUUAUGAUUUAGUUAGGACUCUGUCUCCCUUUCGUGAUCUUCCGCCCUCCGGUUGGGGAAGGUCCGGAAAGCCCUCACUCCCCCUUUUUCAAAAAGAAGCCCCGCUCAACAAGGGGCCCUCUCUGAUAAGGAAGAAAACGAAAGAAUCUCAAUUUUACGAAAAAUCCGGUCCGAUGGUUGUUCU
rnacentral:lncRNA from 1 species